CACACACACACACACACACACACACCCCACAGAAUGGCUUCUAAAUGCUAAGAAUUAACUUCAUGGUUUUAUCAACAGCCCAGUCAAAUGAAUAAUCUCAGUAGCCCAGGAGAAUUCUAGAAUUUGUACUACAGAAUGUAAUUCUAGAGGCAUAUUUUUGCUAGUUCUGCCUUCCUUUCUAGGUAGAAAAGAAAAUGCAUGUAGGGCUGGGAAUAUGGCCUAGU